AUGAGAAAGAAAACAACUCACUGGGCUUGCGUGUGUGGAUGCGUGCAAGCGCGCUCGCGUGCGUGUGUCUGGUGUGUGUGUGUGUGUGUGUGCGUGUGUGUGUGUGUGUGCAUGUGUCCACAGGUGGCAGUGAAGCUGGACUCCGUGGAGUCCCAGGGCUGUGAUCCGCAGCAGCUGCUCCAGGACAGACCGGACCCCUUGCCCCUCUCCCCUCCGCCGCCCUCCUCCCCGCUGGCUCUGCUCCUCCUCCCACCCCCUCCUGCCUCCCCUCUGUCGUUCCCUGCCCCCCCCGCCUCCCCCCACUACCUGCCCCGCCCCGCCAGCCUGCGCCGGCCGCGGCCCCGCCCGCCCCCGGCGGCCCGCGACCCGGCCGACGAGGAGGUGAGCCAGAUCACCGGCUCCACGCUCAGCCUGUCCCGGGGGGACGCCGAGGGGCCCGGGCCAGAGGCGGGCGGGGCCAAGGUCUGCCGCAGCCACUCCCUGUCGCCCUACACCUCUCCCUUCUCCUUCGACUCCUGCAUCGCCCCCUUCCCUCCCCUCCCGCCCCUCCCCCCUCCCCCGGCGCCUCCUGCUGCAGGAGGAGGAGGAGGAGGAGGAGGAGGAGGAGGAGGAGGGCGCGCGCUGGGCUUGCCCGAGGGCGGCGGCGCCUUCCGGAAGCGCCGGUCCGGCAAACCACUGCCGGCGCUGCCGACGGAGACGUCGGCGCCGCUGCCCGGUUACCACGACGAUCAGCGCCGUCACUCCAUCGAGGUGUGCUCGGCCGACCCGCUGGAGGCGGCGGCGGCGGCGGCGGCGUUCCCACCGGGAGACCCCUACCGCCUCCUCCCGGGGCCGGGCGGCGGGGCGAGGAGGGGGUUCCCCACCAGGGUGCAGUCCAUGGGGGGGGGCUGCCAGCGCAAGAAGAGACUCAACCCGCCCUGCAUCUCCGUGCACCCGCCGGCGGAGCGGGACCACGCCCCCCCGGCGCCCGCCGGCCCCCCCACUCCGCCGCCGCCGCCGCCAUCGGACUGCAGCGUGAUGCUGAGGAGGAGGCCGCUGUCCUCCGACCUGACACUCUCCGCCACCUGGGCCGCCGACGCCGCGGCCGACGCCCGGCCCCCCGCCGCCGACCACGUGCCGCUCCGCGCCCACCCGCCGCUGGCGCGCACCCUCACCCCGGAGCCGUACCUGCGCACGUGUGCGCGGGCGCACGCCGCCGCACGCACGCACCCCUCGCCGAUCCCCGGUCCGAACAUCUUCGUCCAGCCGCACGCGCCCGUCCUGGCCAGCCCCGCCCACUUCCCCCCGCUGACGCACACCCUCUCCCUGUCCGCCCAGUGCUCGCCGAUCAGAGGGGACUACAUGCCCCUCCCCCAGUUCACUUUUGACCAAUCGGAGGCCGUGUACAUGAGCGGCCUCUCUGCGGGGAUACCGGACGCAGACGCCGCCAACUGCCCCUCGUCGCCCUUCGACAGCAGACUGGAGGACAGGGCGGGGUUUAGCGCCAAGAACAGACGGACGGCCCAAUAG
rnacentral:lncRNA from 1 species